UCUGGCCAUGCUGCCAACGAAGGCUCAAGCCUGGGCUUCCAGCCUUCCAUACAUCAGUGUGAUAGUCAGCAGUAGAAAGAGGAGAUAAGCAAGCUGGUGUCCACCUGAUUGGUCCAGACGUUCUGGACUUCAGAUCAAGCUAACACAGCCAGUGGCAAGAAAUGAUGGGAGCUGCGGUUUCAAAUAUUUACGGGAAGACUACAUAGCAGGGAGGAGGGAGGAAGACUGAAUGGCGGGAGGAAGAUUUCCUUCCCACAAUCCCCUCUUUGUGCACAGAACAGAAUAUUCUACGUACACCCAGAUAAAUCACUUUGUAAACCAAAUUUGUACUUUUUGUCAAUUUGCAUAAUCAUUAAAGAUAUUUGCCUGGUGGGGGAAGAGAGACUGAUCUUCAUCUGGGGUCAGAGAAACAUUCCCUAAAUUAUCCUAAGCAAGAAGGUAAACAUUGAGCAAAACAGCAAACAUUCCUACUACCACAAAGCCCACAAUCCCCAGAUAGUUUUUCAAGCCCUUCCAGUCAAUCUCUGGAUCCUUCAUGAGCCUGAUCUGUGGCAGUCUAGGGGGCGCAGCAACUUCGACAUUGUGGUCUACCACCAUAGGCUUCACGUGUGGAUCCAGGUGUUCUGCUCUGCCACUUUCUCCGCCAUCUGAGUUGUCAACAGCGCUUGGAAUGGUCCCUCCCACCUUGGCUGUAGUGAGGAGCUCCUGGUGAAGAAGUGGAUCCACAUCCAGUCUCCAGGUUCAAAGAGAUGCAGGGCUUCCUCUAGCAGCAAGCUCUGGGUCAGGGCACUCCGACGCCACAAUUGCUGUAAGGAAGAGAGGUAGGAAAACAGCGCAGAGUUCUCCCUUUCAAGGCUCAGUGGGUGUGGAUCUAGUCCCUUCAUUACAUCUGGUCUCCAAAUAAUAGUUCAGUGAUAGAAAGAUCAAGUCCAUGCUUCCAGAGUCCCACUGAAGUGAUGCCUCAGAUGAUUCCAGCAACCAGUAUGAUUUCCCAUAGAAGUCAAAGGGUUCAGUCCACGUCUUCUUGCAGCUUUUGGGGUCCUGUAGGCACAGAAUGGAUCUCUUCUUUGGCUCUCAGGUACAAAGGUACAGCGUUCUGCCCUGGUUACUGCACAAACACGUCCUUUGGCUGCAAGGAUCUGGUCUAAAACUAAUCUAUUCUGGAAACUAUUUUGCUCAGUGCUAGCAUUUCCAUGUGUAGGGAGCCAAUUGCUUUGUAGCUGUAUCAUGUGACACUUGUUGCAAAAUAAAUGCUGAACACAAAGUUAUGAUGGUAAUAUUGCAGGCUGAGCUCAUCAUAUAAAAUUCCAUGCCCUUUUGUUGGAGGUAACUUGAAGCAUGGGAACCCCUCCCCUGGCAUGGAGGGACACACAGUCCUGGCAGUCAGAUGCAUUUAUGUUGUCUGCAGGAGGAUGUUUACCACACACCUGUGCUAAAGCACCAGGGGGCAGGGCAAAAGGAGAACCCACAUCCUUCCUUUCCUCCAAGCUUCCAGUGUGUUCCCUCUGGGCUCGUCUGCCAACCCAAUGAAUGAGGAACAAGAACUUGCCCAGUCUAGCAACCUGGCUGGGGAAACAGGAAUAAUGUCUCCAUGACAUUGGGAGGCUCCUUUUCCUGGUGUUGCAGUUGUUUAAUUAAGGCAGCUUGAACACUUGGGACACUGAUUAGAAAAAAAUGGGAGCUCUUGCCUUCAAUGGGAAAAAAGGAAACCAAAUGAGAAGAGAGAAAAUAUUACUUAUAGCUUAGCCUCUGUUUUAGCUGCUCCUUCUUUGGUCUUUGCCAGCUUUUGGGUGGGAGUGUGCAGACAGGGACAUCAGCUUUUCCUAAGCACCUGAAGAAGACUGCAGAGCUCUUUUCCACUCUGACUGGAGGAUGUUCUUUUACUUGAAGGCUUGAUGUAGAUCUGGUAUUAAACUUGAGGUUAAUUAGACUGCAAGGUUAGUCUGGAGCUAGUGUCAAGUAGCCACUUCACAGAGUGGUUCAUAGUGAAGUCAUUUGGAGGGUGCACAUCUAUCUGGGAAGACAUUGGGUGGGGAUGCAGGAAUCUUGGUCUGCCAAUCAGGAUCAAUCUUGUGGUGUUUGGUCAUUUGGACUGCUCAUCCUGGAAUAAAAUACAGUGGUACCUCUAGU